rnacentral:rRNA from 1 species
UACGAAGGGUGCAAGCGUUACUCGGAAUUACUGGGCGUAAAGCGUGCGUAGGUGGUUUGUUAAGUCUGCUGUGAAAGCCCCGGGCUCAACCUGGGAAUGGCAGUGGAUACUGGCAAGCUAGAGUGCGGUAGAGGGUAGUGGAAUUCCCGGUGUAGCGGUGAAAUGCGUAGAGAUCGGGAGGAACACCAGUGGCGAAGGCGAGUCUCUGGACAUUUCCUGACGCUGAGGCACGAAAGCCAGGGGAGCAAACAGG